rnacentral:rRNA from 1 species
GAUGAACGCUAGCGGGAGGCCUACACAUGCAAGCCGAGCGGUAUUAUUUCUUCGGAAAUGAGAGAGCGGCGUACGGGUGCGGAACACGUGUGCAACCUGCCUUUAUCUGGGGGAUAGCCUUUCGAAAGGAAGAUUAAUACUCCAUAAUAUAUUGAACGGCAUCGUUUAAUAUUGAAAGCUCCGGCGGAUAGAGAUGGGCACGCGCAAGAUUAGCUAGUUGGUGAGGUAACGGCUCACCAAGGCGAUGAUCUUUAGGGGGCCUGAGAGGGUGAUCCACCACACUGGUACUGAGACACGGACCAGACUCCUACGGGAGGCAGCAGUGAGGAAUAUUGGUCAAUGGGUGCAAGCCUGAACCAGCCAUCCCGCGUGAAGGACGACUGCCCUAUGGGUUGUAAACUUCUUUUGUAUAGGGAUAAACCUACUCUCGUGAGGGUAGCUGAAGGUACUAUACGAAUAAGCACCGGCUAACUCCGUGCCAGCCGCCGCUGUAAAAC